rnacentral:lncRNA from 1 species
UAAAAGUUACUGAAUCUGAAUGCAUGGAUAUAGAUUCAUCCCUUUCGAUUCUUGAACAAAAGCAAAUUAUUCUUUGAUCGAACCUUACAACAUAAACAUGUAAAUAAUAUUAAUCAUUUCCCGAAGUCAAAAUAUAAUCAAAAGAAAUCAGAAAAGUGUAGAAAGAAAGAUGCAAGUGAUGAAUUUUUGGUUGAGGCAAGUGUUUGACACUUGGUCCUUAACAUGAAUUUGCCCCGCAUCGGUGCUAACGAUUUUUCGACAAUCAUUUCCCAAGAUACAACGACCACGUCAAGCCAUAGGAGCACCCCAAAUGACUUCGACCAGUGAACUCGAACGAAAUUCUCUCUCUACCAAAAAAAUGCAUGAAAAUGUUAUGGAAUUAGAAAUGAGAGAAUUGCAAGAGGAGAAUGAAU